GGAACCCUUGCUUUUUUUGUGGGAAUCUGGUGUUUUGGUCCGUGCCAGGCAGAGGAUGCCUGCAUGACCAGCCCCAGGGAAACCCUUGGGCAUGGAGUCUCCCACGGGCUGCCUGGGGCGGGGACACUGCUGCAGGAGGAGAGUGCUCUGUGUCACCUUCCUGGGAGAGGGAGCAUCAGGAAGCCUGGGUACGGAUUCUUCUAGACUCCAUGUCUCAGUCAGCUCAGGCUGCUGUAAGGAAAUACCACAGACGCGGGGCUUUCAACAACAGACAUUUACUUCUCAGAGUUCUGGAGGCUGGAAGCACGAGAUAAAGGUGCCGGCAGGUUCGGUUCCUGGUGAGGGCCUGUUUCGCGCCCUGCAGACGGCUGCGUCCCACUGUGGGUUUUCCCCUUAUGAUGCAGUGGUGUGUCUGACUCCACGGCUGAAAUCGCUCUUUGCCACGGAUACAGCUAGAUGUUGAAAACCGUUCUGGCCUGUCUGCUCAGAGGACGUGUUUGUCAGGAGUUUCCAGACUGGCCCUGGAGGGGAACUCAGAAUUUGUCCGCAGGACGAUGCUGCCUCCCCCUGUGGAAGUCGUGGAUGGACGAGCAAACGGAUAAGAGCGGGAGCAGAAUCCGCUGAGGCAGGGCAGGGCUUUUCAAAAUUUACUGUACACACGAAUCGCCCGGAGGAGCUUGUGAAAAUGUGGAUUCCGAUUCAGCGGGUCUGGGGGCGGGGGCUGAGAUUCUAUGUGUCUAACAGACCCUCAGACCACACUGAUGCUGCUGGUCCAUGACCACACUUGGAAAGACAAGAAGCAGGGGGCAGUGGUGAAGUUCAGCGACUCCAGAAUCAAAUGCCGAGUGAAAAUCCCAGCUCAGACAUUCUUGUGUGAUUUCCAGCAAGUCAGUUAACCCCCAGCGCCUCGGUUUCCUCAAGUGUAAGCUUGGAUGAUGCCUGAACCUGCCUCACAGAACUGUGGAGAUGAUUAAGUGAAUCAACGCCGGGAGGGGCUCAGAACAGCGCCUGGCACAGAGCAAGCGCAACUUGUGUGCUUGGCAUUUUCAAAUAACAACAAACCAUAUUUGCUCAAGGAACAGACUUUGGUUGGAAAGUUCUUUUAAUCGGUUCCUGGGUGGCCAACAAGCAGUCCGCUCUGCUUAGAACUAGGAGACCCCAGCUCCAGCCUCGGCCCUGCCCUUACUGGCUGUGUCACUUGGGGAAAGUUACUGGAUCUUUCUGAGCCCCCAAUUCACAUGUGUGUGAAAUCAGCUGUGGUCCUUCUUCACGAGAUUCCCGUGAGCAUUCAGUGAAAUCCUGGCUCAAGUGGCUGAACCUGAGUCUCUUCUUUACAGCCAAUUAAUCUAAGAUCCACACAGGCCAAUCGAACAUCAGGGCAGCGAUCGU
rnacentral:lncRNA from 1 species